GACGAACGCUGGCGGCGUGCUUAACACAUGCAAGUCGAACGAUGAAGCUGGAGCUUGCUCCGGUGGAUUAGUGGCGAACGGGUGAGUAACACGUGAGUAAUCUGCCCUUGACUCUGGGAUAACUGCGGGAAACUGUAGCUAAUACCGGAUACGACACCUUCGGGCAUCCGAUGGGUGUGGAAAGAAUUUCGGUCAAGGAUGAACUCGCGGCCUAUCAGCUAGUUGGUGAGGUAAGGGCUCACCAAGGCGGCGACGGGUAGCCGGCCUGAGAGGGUGACCGGCCACACUGGGACUGAGACACGGCCCAGACUCCUACGGGAGGCAGCAGUGGGGAAUAUCGCACAAUGGGCGAAGGCCUGAUGCAGCAACGCCGCGUGAGGGAUGAAGGCCUUCGGGUUGUAAACCUCUUUUAGUUGGGAAGAAGCGAAAGUGACGGUACCAACAGAAAAAGCACCGGCUAACUACGUGCCAGCCGCCGCGGUAA
rnacentral:rRNA from 1 species